rnacentral:lncRNA from 1 species
AAUGAAAGCCGAGCCGUGAUGCGAUCGUUGACUCACCUCAUCUCUCUCUCUCUCUCUCUCUCUCUCUCUCUGUCUGACCAGGUGGUAAGAGAGGAGGCGUGGAGGGAGAAAAGCAGGGCACCCAUGAAGCCAAGAUGGGUAAUUUAUGCUGACGGGGCACCUCCGGCUGAUGACACAUCAGCUGUAUAGGAAGAGGAGCUGGCUCGGACGAAUCCGUGUUGUUUGUAAUUUGUUCUUCUUUCAUAAGAUCCAGGGAGGAAAAUAGAAAAAAUGAGAGUUGCAUAUGUGGACGAUGAUGAAGGGUUUAGAUCCGUUGAUCCAACGUAGUCGUAAGCGGGAUCGACGGUGGUUGAUUGGGGCACCUGAUCCUCCCCAUUAAUAGAUGGAGUCCAUUAUUUCUACAUACAUAUCAAUAGAGAAUGAAAUUAGG